GUAGGAGCUAACCUCUCUGUUUAUCCACAGGCUAAGUAUGGCUCAGACGUUCGGCAUCUGAGCUCCCUACGUAGCCAUGUCAGUGAACUUAGGCUUGAAUGGGAGGGAAUUGCCUCUCCGGGAGAUGAGAGGGGAUUCAUUUGCCAUGCUAGCUCUUUCCUGGG
ensembl:misc_RNA